rnacentral:tRNA from 1 species
UCCCUAAUGGUCUAGUGGACAGGAUUCGGCGCUUUCACCGCCGCGGCCCGGGUUCGAUUCCCGGUCAGGGAA